GAUGAACGCUGGCGGCGUGCCUAAUACAUGCAAGUCGAGCGAACAGACGAGGAGCUUGCUCCUUUGACGUUAGCGGCGGACGGGUGAGUAACACGUAGGUAACCUACCUAUAAGACUGGGAUAACUUCGGGAAACCGGAGCUAAUACCGGAUAAUAUUUCGAACCGCAUGGUUCGAUAGUGAAAGAUGGCUUUGCUAUCACUUAUAGAUGGACCUGCGCCGUAUUAGCUAGUUGGUAAGGUAACGGCUUACCAAGGCAACGAUACGUAGCCGACCUGAGAGGGUGAUCGGCCACACGGGAACUGAGACACGGUCCAGACUCCUACGGAGGGCAGCGGUGGGAAAUCUUCCGCAUUGGGCGAAAGCCUGACGGAGCAACGCCGCGUGGGGAAUGAAGGUCUUCGGAUCGUAAAACUCUGUUAUUAGGAAAGAACAAACGUGUAAGUAACUGUGCACGUCUUGACGGUACCUAAUCAGAAAGCCACGGCUAACUACGU
rnacentral:rRNA from 1 species